UGGGGAAUAUUGCACAAUGGGCGCAAGCCUGAUGCAGCCAUGCCGCGUGUAUGAAGAAGGCCUUCGGGUUGUAAAGUACUUUCAGCGGGGAGGAAGGGAGUAAAGUUAAUACCUUUGCUCAUUGACGUAACCCGCAGAAGAAGCACCGGCUAACUCCGUGCCAGCAGCCGCGGUAAUACGGAGGGUGCAAGCGUUAAUCGGAAUUACUGGGCGUAAAGCGCACGCAGGCGGUUUGUUAAGUCAGAUGUGAAAUCCCCGGGCUCAACCUGGGAACUGCAUCUGAUACUGGCAAGCUUGAGUCUCGUAGAGGGGGGUAGAAUGCCAGGUGUAGCGGUGAAAUGCGUAGAGAUCUGGAGGAAUACCGGUGGCGAAGGCGGCCCCCUGGACGAAGACUGACGCUCAGGUGCGAAAGCGUGGGGAGCAAACAGG
rnacentral:rRNA from 1 species